UCAUCCAUCAGACUAGACUUUAUGACAUCC
rnacentral:piRNA from 1 species